AGAUUUUCAGAAACAUAAUGUGUCUGUACUAAUACACUGAGAUUAUUCGAUGUUACUGGGUUUGCUAAUAAUCUUAGAAAUUGUUUUCUCUCCUUGUAGUUAGUUUAUAGCUAAUAACUGAGAAGAUCAAUACAUUUAAAAAGAAAACAGAACUUGCUGAUGAAGUAUCCAUUUGGGAGCAGAAGGGAUCAUUACCCUUUCAAAGAUUUUUUCUGAUUUCAUUUUGGUUAUUUGUACCUCUGGUAGUGUAUCCUACUGACCUAUUUCAUGUGUUCUAUAAACAGUUCUAGUUCAAGACAAGCUUCACAAAUGUCAAGCACUGUCUGUUUAUUUGUGGAAGGAAUCACACAUUAAAAGAUAGUUUUGUCUAUCACUAUGCUAUUUGUGAAUUCUAAUCCUUUAUCACAUGUUAUAUAGAUCAAUGAAUCAAAGAAAUGUCUUUAAGAAACUAAGAGAAAUUAAGUUUCUUUCUGAUGAAGCUCUUAAAUUAAAGGAGGACAUCAAAACAGUUGAAUAUUUUAAUGAAAUUUUAAGUGACAGUCUUCAAAGUGCACAUGCUACCUUGCGAUCUGAGAGAGAGAAGAAUGUCAAGAAUAAGGACUUGUCACAAGAUGGAAAUGGUGAAUUCGAGGAUUGAGAGCUGAGAACCUUGAGGUCCAAUAACUGUGAACUGGAAGAAAAUAAAAAGGCCUUAGAAGACAAGUGUAAUGCAUUGAGGUCUGUGAAAGCAAUCAAGGAAGCAAAAGUCAAACAGCUGAAGGAGAAAGCACAUAUCCUUGAAGAAUUCUAUAAACAAAGAAAAGUGGCUGCAGAAGAGAAACUGAAAAUGGCACAAUGUGAACUGGGGGCAAUUGAGAAUCAACUGGAAGCUACAGAGGAAAAUUUGAAAAUAGCUAACGAGGAAAUAUACAACUACAAGUGAGUUCAGAUACUAAUUAGCAGUGGCUCAUGAAACCCCUGUCCAUUUCUUGUUUUUCACAUUUGUACAAAUUUAGACUCAAUUAACAAGUAAUAUAAAUACAUAUUCAGAGGACAUAUCCAUAGAGAAUGAACAGAUAGAAAAAGAUAAGAUUUAGAAAGAACAAAAAACAGUCAAGUUACUAAACAUUUCCAGAACUCCAGUAUUGGCCUGACCAUGUGGAAACUUCAUCCAUGCCAACAUUCCUCAGGGGUGGUGUCAACUCUCAUAAUCUAUAGGAAAGCAGUGUGUGGUAGGAUGAAUUAUACCCAUCAACAUGGUAGUGCCAUUUGAUGGCCCUGGUUUCUGGGAAAUAUGGUGAAAAUAUAUGUUAAGGGACAAAGAGCUUUAUGAUGAAAGACACUUGUCACAUGAUGAAUUAGGGAAAGAUUAAAAAUGGGAAGGAAUUCUAUGAACUCUGAACCCUACAGGCAGGGAAUAAUGAGUAAGGAAAGGAUGUAACAAUAGCUUUGAUCCUACUGUACAUUUAUAAUCAUGUAAGAAUAAAUUGUAUCAGGGGACAGAUACGAGGUUGAUGGCAACGUGGGCAGAUUAUUUAAAAUCAUACCCAAUAUUGGGCCUUAUCUGACAAAAGCAAUUGUGACUCACAGGCAACAAACUGAACAAACACGAGAACAGCUACAGCAGGCAGAGCUCACCUUCAGACACCAGAUUGCAGUUCAUGAGAAGAAUGCUCAGCACAACUGGAUCAAGACUCAGAUCUGGGACAGGGAGAUGGCAGAGCAGAGCAGGGAGGGCGCCCACUUGAAACAGACUGGAUGUUAUGGAAGGAAAGAGGCUGCCUGAGGGACACAUGAGGCAGAAACCAAUGCCUGGAAGACCAGAGACGCAGAACCGUCCAGGGAGAGGUAAGGAGCACAUUGUGAUAUGCACUGGCCUAAUUUCUGCUGCAAAGCCUGUUCCUGUCGGUGAUCAUUGUGUGGCCUGGACAGAACCACAAGCACUACCUAAGGAUAGCAGGUGGCCUGAAGGGGUGACAGGAGGGUGUUCUCCUCUGGUGCCCUAGCAGCACUGCUAAAUUUCUGUAGUUUUCCUUUUCUCAUUAGUAUAAGAUUAGUCUAAGUACAUUUCUAGUCAGACAUAGUUAUAUAAUAACUGCUCACAUGUGGAAGGCAGCUUACAUAUAAGCUGAAGGAUUGAACAAUCCACCUAGAGCCAGAAGAAACACACACAUUCUCUUCCGUUGAGGGUUCUUUGAUGUUAUCCGCCAAUCGAUACUCUCGUUUGUAUUCUUUUUUUUAGUUAAAUUUUUAAUGUUUAUUUACUUUGGAGACAGAGAGUGUGAGUGGGGGAGGGGCAGAGAGAGAAGGAGACACAGAAUCUGAAGCAAGCUCCAGGCUCUGAGCUGUCAGCACAGAGCCCGACGCGGGGUUCGAACCCAUGGACUGUGAGAUCAUGACCUGAGCCAAAAUCAGAUGCCUAACUGACUGAGCCACCCAGGCAUCCUCAUUUUUGUUCUUAAUCGGUAAUGAAAUGGUGAUUUCCCAUGAUGUACACUGAGAAACCUCUGUCUUAGUGAUGACUUCUAGAUUGCUAAUUGAGCCUGUCAUCACUGACCUGUCCACAGUUAUUUGAUUAAUUACAAAACAACAUGAACUAAGGCAACAUGAGGUCUUUAUCAAGGUGAGGGGAGGUUCUCCCCCUUAUCCUUGGGGGUCACCUGAGGCAUGUGGGAUACCCUCUGCCUCUGGUCAGGGACCUGACUGAAGGGAAAAAUUUAAGAUAUUUGAGGAAUGAGAGGAGAGAUUGUUUUCAUUCCGCACAGUCCUCUAAAAGCAGAAUAAACCUCUGUCCCUUCUAGGGUCUUUAGUAGAUCCACAAACUCUGAAACCUCUGAGUUACAGCAGCUCUGACUGUACCAAGAAUGCAGACAAGGACAAGAGAUUAAGAUCACCUCUGGCUGUCAAAGACCCUAAGACUUCUGAACUCGAGUCCCUCAGCCAGGCUGCUGAGAGACAACACGUAGGCAUGUAAGUACCCUCUCCACAUUACCUCUUCCUAAGAUGCUACCUUGCCCUCUUCUACUUCAGGGUGGUAGCCACCGGAAGGUCAGAUGCUGUGAAGUCCCUCCCCUCAUGCAGACCUGUCAGAGUGGCCCAAAUAAUGCUACCUGCAUGCUGCUGCCACCUCAUGGUCACAUCUUUCUCCUUCAGCCUGAAAAUUCUUGAACUCAACUGUACAUUCUUCCCAACAUUGAAUGUUUUUCUGAAUUGGAAUUAUUUGAUUCUGUUGUAUUGCCGCUAAGAAGAAUGCAUGGAAACAAAUUAAAAACAAGGAUUCUUUAGAAUAAGUGAGCUAGUCACAAUGAAACACCUGGCCGUUUGUACAUUUUUGGAAAAUGUUAAGCCAUGAUGUGAAAAACAUUGUCCAGAAUCUAAAUAGGUCCAUGCUGUAGGAUCACCAACUUUAUAGUGAGCCCAUCAGUAACACACUCUUUGAAAAUCAGAAAAGCACAUAAUUCCAUACUAUAGAAUACAAUGUGGCAUAUAUGUUAUCAUCUUAGUGUAAAAUAUGUAAAAUGGCUACUUUUGUCAAUUAUAUUUAUUGUGUAUUCAAUUUUUUAUAACAUACAUGCUAUUAUUUAAAUAAAACAGCAGUAAGAACAUGAAAAUGAGUGUCAACUGUUAGUAAAUAACAGAACUCAUUAUGCAGUUACAUGUGUUAAAACAAUGAUUAUUCAUAUACUUUUAAUAUUAUUACAGUUUUAGAUUUAUUUUAAAAAGAGUCCAUAUGGUACCAAAUAAAUGAGUAUUUUCAAAGCUGAAAGCAUUUGCAUUAUGUAGAUACCCAGUCCUCCAAGAGGUGACAUGUAACUUCCCACUUCUUGAGAUGUGCACUUAUUUCUCUAGAGAGAACAUACAUCAUGGACAGGGGAGAAACCUGAAAAGCACUACCUCAGCCGUAUGAUGAAACAUAAAAUUAACAGUGGCAAUUCAUCUUGAGAGUAAACAUUCUUGAUAUGAAUCGAUAAGGAUGGCAUUUUGCCUCUGUGAUCUUGUGCCACCAAGCACGUAACUCCAGUCUAGUCAUUUGAAAAAACAUUAGAGGGGCGCCUGGUUGGCUCAGUCGGUUAAGCAUCGGACUUUGGCUCAGGUCAUGGUCUCACAGUUCAUGGGUCUGAGCCCCACAUCGGGCUCUGUGCUGACAGCUUGGAGCCUGAAGCCUGCUUUGGAUUCCGUGUCUCUCUCUCUCUGCCCCUUCCUCACUCACACUCUGUCUCUCUCUGUGUCUCAAAAAUGAAUAAACGUUAAAAAAAAAAUUAGAUGUAUACCAACUGAGGAUCAUCCCACAAAAUACAUUCUACAAAAGUACCCCUCAAAACUUUGCAGAUCAUGAAAAAUAUGGAAAGUCUGAGAAUUGUUAUAGGCAGGUAGAGCCUAAGGAGACAGGAUGACUGGAUGUAAUGUGCCAGCUGGGAUGAGUCUGGAACAAGAAAAGUUAAAACCUCAGCAAAUCUGAGUAAAAUAGACAUUGGUCAAUUAUAUCAAUUUUUGAUUACUAUACCAACUCAUGUGACAUUAAUAAUCAACAAACUGAGUCUUAGGUAUGUGAAAACUCUCAGUACUAUCCCCACAAUUUUUAUUCAGUAAAUCAAACCUAUUGUAAAAUUAAAAAGUUUAUUAGUAGUCUUGGUUUAUGUUUUUAACACAUAAUAUGGCAUAAUUAGUCCUGCCCUGAGUGACUAGUAUCUACUCUUAUAGUUAUUACUAUUGUUUUAUUUAAAUGAUAACAUUUAUGUUAUAGAAAACUGAAUGAUACACAGUAUUAUGUAAUUCACAGAAACAGAAACAUCUAGUUUCUAUAGUUUAUGUUAAGAUAAUAAAACAUAUACAACAUAUGAUAUAUAAUGAUUUCUGAUCUAGAAUGGGUGUGUCACUGAUGCACUUUCUAUAAAGUUUGUGCCUACCGUGACAUUGGCUAAUUAGUAUUCAUAAAGAGAAAAAUGACAAUAAAAGAAUAGUACCAACAUGGGCGAUAUAGAUUACUGUGGGGGAUAAUAUGAAGUUGAUGUUAAGACACUGUAUUCCUAGGGUGUUGGCUGUUAUUUCACCUCUUUCUUUUCUAAUUUUAUUUAUUUUUGUCCUCUCUUCUUUUGUUAAUGAGUCUGGAUAACAGUUUAUCAAUUUGGUUUAUCUUUUCAAACAACCAGCUCUGGUUUUCAUGAUGUGUUCUAUUUCUUGUGUGUGUGUUUUAUUUCCUUUAUUUCUGCUUUAGUUUUUAUUAUUUCCUCCCUUCCGUAUUUGGGCUUUGUUCUUCUAGGCUUGACGUUAGUUGUUUUUUUGUUGUUGUUGUUUGUUUGUUUUUGUUUUUGUUUUUUUGAGAUUUUUUCUUACUUCUUCAGGUAGGCCUGAUUGCUAUAACCUACCCUCUUAUAUCAGCUUUUGCUACAUCCAACACUUAAAGUUUUCAUUCAAAUUCCAGUUAGUUAACAUCCAGUGUAAUAUUAGCCCCAGGUAUACAAUAUAGUGAUUCAACACUUGCAUAUGACACCUGGUGGUGCUCAUCACCAGAAAUGCAAUCCUUAAUCCCCAUCACUUAUUUUACCCAUCUCCCACCCACCUCCCUUCUGGUAACCAUUUGUUUCUCUAUAGUUUCUAGUCUGUUUCUUGGUUUCUCUCUCUUUCCUCCCCACCCCAUCUCCUCCCUGUGUUCAUUUGUUUUGUUUCUUAAAUUCCACAUGUGAGUGAAAUCAUAUGGUAUUUGUCAUUCUCUAACUUAUUUCACUUAGUAUAAUAAAUACUCUGUAGGUCUAUCCGUGUUGGUGCAAAUGGCAAGAUUUCAUUCUUUUUAUGGCUGAUACUAUUCCAUGCAUAUAUCUAUAUAUACCACACCUUCUUUAUCCAUUCAGCAAUAAUGAACACUUGAGCUGCUUCCAUAAUAUGACUGUUGUAAAUAAUGUUGCUAAAAACAUAAGGGUAUGUGUAUCCCUUUGAGUUAGUGUUCUUGUAUUAUUUGGGCAAAUACCCAGUAAUGUGAUUGCUGGAUCAUAAGGUAGUUCUAUUUUUAACCUUUUGAGGAACUUCCAUACUCUUUUCCACAGUGGUUGCACCACGUUUGCAUUCCCACCAAUCAGUGCACAGGGGUUCCCCUUUCCUCAUAUCCUUGCCAACACCUGUUGUUUCUGUGUUGUUGAUUUUACCCAUUCUGACAGGUGGGAGAUGAUAUCUCAUUGUAGCUUUGAUUUGUAUUUCCCUGAUGAUAAGUGAAGAUGAGCAUCUUUUUACGUAUCUGUUGGCCAUCUGGAUGCCUUCUUUGGAGAAGAUGUUGCCCAAUGUCUGUUGCCCUUUAGUUUUAUUGAUUGUUUUCUUCGCUGUGCAGAAGGUUUUUAUUUUGGUGUAGUCUCAGUAAUUUAUUUUUCCUUUAAUUUCCUUUGCCUAAGGAGGCGUAUCUAGAAAGAAGUUGGUACGUCCAAUGUCAAAGAAGUUACUACCUAUAUUCUUUGCUAGGAUUUUUAUGGUUUCAGGUCUCACAUUUAGGGUUUUAAUUCAUUUUGAAUUUAUUUAUGUGUAUGAUGUAAGAAAGUGUCCAGUUUCAUUCUUUCGCAUGUUGUUGUUCAGUUUUCCCAACACCAUUUGUUGAAGAGACUUUCUCCCAUUGGAUCAUCUUUCCUGCUUUGUUGAAGAUUAACUGAUCCUAUAAUUGUGGGAUUAUUCCUGUGUUUUCUAUUCUGUUCCAUUGAUGUCUGUGUCUGUUUUUGCUUCAGUAUCAUACUGUUUUGGAGCCACAGGAAGGAUCCAUUUCUGAUUGAUAUAACAAUCUCCUGGUCAGUUAGAGGUACUUGACUGAGAAAUCAUUGUAUCAUUCAGAUAUGGAUGGAUCCUUCCUCUGUCUCUGUGUUUCCAUGCCUGAACUUCUGGCUGUGCCCAAGAAUAAGGUAAUCUUCAACAGUAGAUGGGACAUAUGAAAAAGACACAGGAACCAUCUGAAAGGAUUGCCACUGAUCAGAUCAAGACAACCUGAACAUUAAAAUGAAUCAUGGCAGGAAUGGUUUCCCAAUACUGAAUGAUAAACAAUCCAUGAGUCUACAGUGAUACCUAAAAAACAUUUUUAAAAUGGGGAUUGGAGAAAAGAGAAAUACCUUUACAAAAGAUUACACACAAAUAAAGGUAGAAAUAGAAAAUGGAGAUAAGAAAUCACCUUUUAAAAACCAUCAUUCUAACAGUUUGGCCACCAAUUAUCAGUAGAUGCUAAAGUUGUUGGGUGAAAUAAUGUUGGGGCAUAGGAAAUGGACUGUGGGAACCACAGUGAACUUAAUAACUAACAUACAAAGAAACCAGGCUGUGUCAUGUGGCUCAUGAUGCAGGGUCAGUGUGAAGGGCACAAUAUCAGACAGUAAAAGAUUUUGAAAAGAGAAGAAAAAACAGAAAAGUAUAGACAAAUAGAAUGCACAUAUUGGUGGUGAAUGUAAAGUCCAAGAGAAGAAGGUCACAUUGAAUUCACUGGAUAAAAAGAUCCUGUUAAAAAUCAACAACUAGCUAAACCAACCAACCAACCAACAACCAUAAGCUGGUGACAUGAUACUCAUCUAAAAUGCAAGGUCAUAGACAUUUUGAAAAUAAGACACUGGAAAAAACUAAAGUAUGUAAACAGCAAUCAAAGAAAAGCUGCUCUGGGUAUAGUAAUAUCAGAUAAAAUAUACAGAAGGCAAAAAGCAUUGCUAGAUAUAAAGAAAGUUGGUACAAAGUAAUAAAAGGUAUAGUUCACCAAGAAAGGAAAAGUUGUGCAUCCCCAAUUACAUGGCUGCCAACCAUAUAAAGGGAAGUAUGCCAAAAACUGCAAGAAGAAUCAAAUCCUCAAGUAGAGUGGGAAAUUUUUUCACAGCCCUCUCUCAGCAACUGAUAAUGGGCAGACCCCAAAUCAGUAAGGAUGCAGAAGAUUUGAACAGGAAGCCAUCUUAAUAUAGAUUAUAUACAUAGACAUAUAUAGAAAUAUAUGUAGAUAGUAUAUAUAAACAUAUGUUAAAUAAAUAGUUAAAAUAGAUACAAUAAAAUAUGCUUUAAUAUAUUUUCCUAGUAGGUAUUAGGGAAU